rnacentral:snRNA from 1 species
AUACUUACCUGGCGGAGGAAACGAUGAAACUGUGAUCAGAAGGCAGUUCACCCGGGUGGGCUCAGCCAUUGCACUCCGGCUGUGCUGACCCCUGCGAAUUUCCCAAAUGUGGAAAUCUCUUUUAGCUGGC